UACGGAGGAUGCGAGCGUUAUCCGGAUUUAUUGGGUUUAAAGGGUGCGUAGGCGGUCUGUUAAGUCAGCGGUAAAAUUGCGGGGCUCAACCCCGUCGAGCCGUUGAAACUGGCAGACUUGAGUUGGCGAGAAGUACGCGGAAUGCGCGGUGUAGCGGUGAAAUGCAUAGAUAUCGCGCAGAACUCCGAUUGCGAAGGCAGCAUACCGGCGCCCUACUGACGCUGAGGCACGAAAGCGUGGGUAUCGAACAGG
rnacentral:rRNA from 1 species